AUUGAACGCUGGCGGCAGGCCUAACACAUGCAAGUCGAGCGGAUGAAGGGAGCUUGCUCCUGGAUUCAGCGGCGGACGGGUGAGUAAUGCCUAGGAAUCUGCCUGGUAGUGGGGGAUAACGUCCGGAAACGGGCGCUAAUACCGCAUACGUCCUGAGGGAGAAAGUGGGGGAUCUUCGGACCUCACGCUAUCAGAUGAGCCUAGGUCGGAUUAGCUAGUUGGUGGGAUAAAGGCCUACCAAGGCGACGAUCCGUAACUGGUCUGAGAGGAUGAUCAGUCACACGGGAACUGAGACACGGUCCAGACUCCUACGGGAGGCAGCAGUGGGGAAUAUUGGACAAUGGGCGAAAGCCUGAUCCAGCCAUGCCGCGUGUGUGAAGAAGGUCUUCGGAUUGUAAAGCACUUUAAGUUGGGAGGAAGGGCAGUAAGUUAAUACCUUGCUGUUUUGACGUUACCAACAGAAUAAGCACCGGCUAACUUCGUG
rnacentral:rRNA from 1 species